GAUGAACGCGGGCGGCGUGCCUAACACAUGCAAGUCGAACGAGAUGCGUAUUGGAAAGCUUCGGCCGGAAGAUAAGUUAUCUAGUGGCGGACGGGUGAGUAACACGUGGGUAACCUGCCUUAUGGAGGGGGAUAACAGAGAGAAAUCACUGCUAAUACCGCAUAAGCACACAGUACCGCAUGGUACAGGGUGAAAAGAUUUAUCGCCAUAAGAUGGAUCCGCGUCUGAUUAGCCAGUUGGCAGGGUAAAAGCCUACCAAAGCAACGAUCAGUAGCCGAUCUGAGAGGAUGACCGGCCACAUUGGGACUGAGACACGGCCCAAACUCCUACGGGAGGCAGCAGUGGGGAAUAUUGCACAAUGGGGGAAACCCUGAUGCAGCGACGCCGCGUGAGUGAAGAAGUAUUUCGGUAUGUAAAGCUCUAUCAGCAGGGAAGAUAAUGACAGUACCUGACUAAGAAGCCCCGGCUAACUACGUGCCAGCAGCCGCGGUAAUACGUAGGGGGCAAGCGUUAUCCGGAUUUACUGGGUGUAAAGGGAGCGUAGACGGAAUGGCAAGUCUGAAGUGAAAUACCCGGGCUCAACCUGGGAACUGCUUUGGAAACUGUUGUUCUAGAGUGUUGGAGAGGUAAGUGGAAUUCCUGGUGUAGCGGUGAAAUGCGUAGAUAUCAGGAAGAACACCGGAGGCGAAGGCGGCUUACUGGACAAUAACUGACGUUGAGGCUCGAAAGCGUGGGGAUCAAACAGG
rnacentral:rRNA from 1 species